AACGAACGCUGGCGGCGUGCUUAACACAUGCAAGUCGAACGAGAAAGCCCUUCGGGGUGAGUACAGUGGCGCACGGGUGAGUAAUGCAUAGGAACGUACCUUUUAGUGGGGAAUAACAACGGGAAACCGUUGCUAAUACCGCAUGAUGUCGCAAGACCAAAGAUGGCCUCUACUUGUAAGCUAUCGCUAGAAGAUCGGCCUAUGUCCCAUUAGCUUGUUGGGGGGUAACGCCCACCAAGGCGACGAUGGGUAGCUGGUCUGAGAGGACGAUCAGCCACACUGGAACUGAGACACGGUCCAGACUCCUACGGGAGCAGCAGUGGGGAAUAUUGCACAAUGGGCGCAAGCCUGAUGCAGCAACGCCGCGUGAGUGAAGAAGGCUCUUGGGUCGUAAAGCUCUUUCGGCAGGGAGAAGGGUUCUUAGGUAAUAAUCUGAGAAUUUGACGGUACCUGCAUAAGAAGCACCGGCUAACUCCGU
rnacentral:rRNA from 1 species